rnacentral:tRNA from 1 species
GCCUGGAUGGCGGAACUGGUAGACGCAAUGGACUUAAAAUCCAUCGGUGGAAACACUGUGCCGGUUCGAGUCCGGCUCCAGGUACCA